UAUCUCUCCGUACGGGGAAGGAUGAGAAGCUUCGAAUAAGGUUCGAUUCGAGCGAAAGCGAGAAAGCGUUGCCGCAGGCAACG
rnacentral:sRNA from 1 species